rnacentral:rRNA from 1 species
GACGAACGCUGGCGACGUGCUUAACACAUGCAAGUCGAACGAUGAAGCUAGAGCUUGCUCUGGUGAAUUAGUGGCGAACGGGUGAGUAACACGUGAGUAACCUGCCCCGAACUCUGGGAUAACUGCUGGAAACGGUAGCUAAUACUGGAUACGACCUACGAAGGCAUCUUCUGUAGGUGGAAAGAAUUUCGGUUCGGGAUGGACUCGCGGCCUAUCAGCUUGUUGGUGAGGUAAUGGCUCACCAAGGCGACGACGGGUAGCCGGCCUGAGAGGGUGACCGGCCACACUGGGACUGAGACACGGCCCAAACUCCUACGGGAGGCAGCAGUGGGGAAUAUUGCACAAUGGGCGCAAGCCUGAUGCAGCAACGCCGCGUGAGGGAUGACGGCCUUCGGGUUGUAAACCUCUUUUAGUAGGGAAGAAGCGAAAGUGACGGUACCUGCAGAAAAAGCACCGGUUAACUACGUGCCAGCAGCCGCCGUAA